rnacentral:lncRNA from 1 species
GGAAAGUACAGCACAGGGACACAAGGGACGCCUAAGUGACAGAACAUCUGCCAUAUCUGCAACGCCUGGGACUUAAAACAAAGACUACAGUAGAAGCCGGGUCUCCCAACCUGUCUAUGAGGUUCCUGGCCUGCUUGAGUUCCUGCCCUCACUGCCUUUGAAGAGGAACUGUGAUGUGGAACUCGCAGGCUGUCCUUGAACUCAAGAGAUCUGUCUUCGUCUGCCUUCCAAGUGCAGAAACUAAAGGUAUGCACCACUGUACCUGGCUCAAGAUGACUCAGCAGGUAGAAGCUGCCAAGCCUGAUGACCUGGCUCAAUUCCUGGGACCCACAGGGUGGAAGAAGAGGUUGUCCUCUGACCUCCACAUGCAUGCCGUAGCACACAUGUAUUGCCAGCCCCAGAAAAAAAUAAAUGCAAUUUUAAAAAAUA